GACAGGCCCUCGUGUGUGAUGUUCCCCGCCCUGUGGUCAUAAUCUAGGAGCUUGAAACUCUUGCUUAACUCCCUCAUGUUGACUGUGUUGACUAAGCAGUAGAAAAUGGAUUUAUCCCUACAAACAAAGAAGCUUUCUGUACCUUUGUAUAGUACAGGAAGUGACUGUGUAAAGAGGUGUCUCAACUUGUACAAGAUUUUGGAUCCUUUAUAGCAGUACAA
rnacentral:lncRNA from 1 species